rnacentral:SRP_RNA from 1 species
AGCCGGUCCUUUUACAACGUUAACCUACAAACCCCGCCAGGCCCGGAAGGGAGCAACGGUAGUGGGCGAGACGGGUGUCGAAUGCGGCUGGUGUGG